GUCCAGAUCAACUGAGGUGGCGCCGAGUUUGCAGUGAUCAUUUUGCUACUUCCCAAUUCAAGAACCCCAUUGACAGGAAAUCUGGAUUGCUGCCAAAUGCUAUACCAUGGUUAAUUGAGUGUCCCAACCCCCCAAAGAGUGGUGAUGUGACGAGAAAGCAGCCACAUGACCGAGGACAAGCUGCUGUAACAGAUGACCAUGGCAGCAGUUCCAUGCAUGGUUGUGCAUUUUUAAUCAGUCCUACGUCUGAAGGACCUGUUGUCCACAAUCCUGA